GAUGAACGCUGGCGGCGUGCCUAAUACAUGCAAGUCGAGCGAACAGAUGAGGAUCUUGCUCCUCUGACGUUAGCGGCGGACGGGUGAGUACCACGUGGAUAACCUAACUAUAAGACUGGGAUACCUUCGGGAAACAGGAGCUAAUACCGGAUAAUUUAUUGACCCGAAUGGUUCACUAGUGAAAGACGGUUUUGCUUUCACUUAUAGAUGAAUACGCGCCGCAUUAGCUAGUUGGUAAGGUAAAGGCUUACCAAGGCAACGAUGCGUAGCCGACCUGAGAGGGUGGACGAGUAGACGGGAUGGGAGACUCGGCCCAGACACCGACGGGAGGCAGCAGUAGGGAAUCUUCCGCAAGGGGCGAGAGCGUGACGGUGCAACGCCGCGUGAGGGAUGAAGGUCUUCGGAUCGGAGAGCGCUGUUAGUAGGGAAGAACAAAUGUGUAAGUAACUAUGCACGUCUUGACGGUACCGAAUCAGAAAGCCACGGCUAACUACGUG
rnacentral:rRNA from 1 species